AGCCUGAAAUAAGUACAGUGCCUAUUUUCUGGAAAUGUAACUCACUCAUUUGGUUCUGUGUGCAUAUUCAGUACUGUACAUUUCACAGCAUCCCUUCUGAAUCAAGACACACAUGCUUGCUUGCUCACUCUUACUGCAUUUCUCAUUCUUGCCUUUUCUGCCACAGUGAACUGCAGCAAACUGGCAACAGUUAUCUCCUACAGCUAGGGGAACUGAGGACUUUCCUGAACAUAUGACUUUAGCCUGGAAUAUGAACUAGAUAACUUUUCUACACGCUGAAAUGAAGGAUUACUUGAAACAAGUAGAUACUUGGUAUAUGAUAGGAAAUUGUUUAUAGUUUCCUUUAGGGGAAAAUAAGUAGGAAAAGUAAGUUUCCUGACGAGGCUGAUUAAAAAUCCUUUUCCUCAAAGAUUCAUAAUACAUAGAUAAAAUGAAACUCUUGGAAAAAAAAGUCUUAAGGUGUGUGAACUGUUCUUGACUAAUCUGGUAAAACCCCAUACCUGGGCAUAACUUCACUUAUGUGAGCACUACUAUUAACUUGGCAUUGAAUUAAGAAAGGCUUACUCAGGUGAGUAAACCUAUGACUAAGUGCAACUAUUUAGAAAACACUGACCUAAUAUUUAUUGAAUAGGAAGGAGCUUCCUAACUUUUCAUACAAAUUCCAGGUUAUUCAGCAAGAGAGAACAUUGCAAAUCGUGUUUAAAUCAGAUUAUAUAACUUGCUGGUUAUAAAGACAGUUACAGCUUUUUACAGAGCUAUAAUAACAGAAACUUCUGAUUUUACAACAGCCUAUGUUAAUAAGUCUUUUGCUGGCACACUUACUGAGGAAAAAAGGACACAGGAUGAAAAUUCCACUGGAAAAAGGUCAGGGAGGAACAGAAGACACCUCCUGAAGAAAAUAUAUCAUUGAAGACUUUUCUUUUUGCAAGAAAAGACUAACAGAAAUGAGGAAUAUUAAUACUUUGCCAAAAAGGUGGAUUUGGUGGGGGAAUACACCUUGCAUCUCUGUCCCACUCUCUAUUACAUACAUAUUUUGGAAGAUUACUGCAAAUUGAACCAGUGGACUUAUGAUUAAAAAAUGCACUGGGGAAUAAUAGGAAGGCAUAGAAAAACGUCAACAAGUGUAACCUUCUUGACAGUCAGAAGGUUAGUAAAAGACACUGGUCAAAGCAGAGGAGUCAGUAUCAAAGAAGUUUGUCUCAGCAAGCGAGGAGUUUCUGAUACUACAGACUCCUUCAUAGUCACAAGCAUGGCUUCAGUAGAUGCUCUUCUAGACACAGAAGCUGAUGAUGCAACUGGUGAUCCUUGGACUUCUUUUUGUGUCCAGAGAGAGAAUGGGUAGCCUGACAAAUAUUUGACUCGAGGGAGAUAACUAACAGAAGAUCAAGUUGUAGCACAAAUUCAGGGUUCUGAUGAAAGCUGAGAUGUUGAUGGCAGUAUUUCAGACAUAACUUCAGGUAUUAAAAAUGGUAAGCUGAUUGGGAGAGGGGAAAAUGUCUAGAGGAGAUGCUGAACUUGGACAAUUGAACAGAACUGAGUAUAAAAAUUUGGUUUAAAUAAAGCUGUUCCAAAGACUGGUUUUGAUGAAUAAUUUACUGAAUUGAGAGUUUUUUCAGAAGACUACUUAAAUGACACUGUUCUGUCAGUGACCAACAAUAGAUGAGUAUUUCAAAUAACAUUCCAUUCUUGCUAAUAUGUCUGCCAAAUUCAGUUCUUUAUACCUUCUGCAAGUUCCUGCUUUUUGAAGUCUUUCACAGCAGUGCUUCUAGCUUGCUGCUGCCAGCAGAGAACAGUACUUAUUAUACUGUUUGUCUUUUUUGGUAGUUCUUGGAGUGCUUCUCCCCUUUCUCAUUUAGAUGGCUUUUCGUCUUUAAUCUUUUAGCAAUUUCUGAUCUGCUUCUACUCUCAUUCUUUUUCUAUUUCUUUUUACAUUACUUUUCUAUCCUGCUGUGGAUGCUUCUUGUGUUUCUAGCAAAUGACAUAAGCAGCAAGUCUAGUUUAGUGACAAGUGCUACCAACAGUGGGCAUCCAAUGCUAAUAGGACAAUGUCCAACCGAUUUGUAUAAGGUUUGCUUUCCUAGGGUAAUAACAAUUGCUAUAGCAGGGUUAAUUCAGUGCUAUGCAUUAGUCUAAUUUUGCAGCCUCAGGAACCUUGCCACCCUUGCUCUUGGCAGUUUUUCUUGUCAUAUCAGUGAGCUGCUUCAAAUUCUACAUUAAUUUUGCACUCCUGAGUAAUGAUUGCCAAGCUCUGUUUCAGGUGGAUGGGUUACUAAGAAUUCUUCAGGUUAAGAGAACAUUGCUAAUGUUUUAAUGUCUGCUUAUUUAAUGAGCAAGUAUUUAAUGUGUAGUUAAAAGUGCUCAAGAUUGUAAUACAAAUGCUGCUAUUAGAAGUGUUCUUUCAAAAUCUAUCCCUCUUAAAGUCAGAGGCAAUAUUGCAGCUGAGUAGGAAAAUCCAGGUUCCUACCUUACAGGUCAAAAUAAAGGUCAGACCUAUCUUUUCCUCCCAUAGUUUUGAGGAUGGAUAUAAUAUACAAGAACAAAACCUUAAUGAUAUCCUUAAAUUCAGAUGGUAAGAAUGUUGCAUGUUUUAACCUUGUACUUUUCAAGGUGAUCAGAAGCUACAGUGUAAUCAGCAAGUCUGUUUAACUCAGAUAAUGACUUCUGUUAUUUCUAAAUAGCUUUGUUUUCAUGACCAAUAAGAGUACAAAGGUUUAUGUCCUAUAUUUUUAAACAGUAUUCACUCAUCCUUAAAGAGAAGGCCCACUUAUAUCCCUUCCUUGAAGAAACACCUUGCACAAGAAGUAAAAUAUUUCUAGCUCAUUUGCUUCACUUUAUGCUUCACUUUAUAAAUGACCUAAUAUACCAGGUCAUGUAUCUAAUUCUAGAAGAUAUUUAUUACCUUAUUGAUAAUCAAAUCAAAUUAUCUUAUAGUCCCUUUAUAGUACCAUCCUUGAAUUAGGCAUUUUCUCAUCCUGGAGAACUUGAUCUCUUCCAUUGCUAUAGUUGUAAGAAACUCCUUUAACACUUUGCUUUUUCUUUACUCUCCCCUGCCUCCUAAGGUCACAUGUCUAAAACAGAAUAACUUCAAACCCUGCUGUGCAUAAGCAAGUAUUGAAGUUUUCAAUUCAAAUGCUAAGUAGUGGGAAAGGUAUGUGGAUGGCUUCUAUUUUUGUCUACACCCUUAGGUAGCCUUUUAGCUUCCGUUGCGUUGCUUGGGAAGGAUAUAAGCCUUUCCAUUUAGGCUUACAGAAAUCCCAUUCUGCAUGAUGUAUAUUUCACAUGGAUCAUUUUCCUCCAAUAUGAUGCUGAAAUAUAAGCUGUUUUAUCACCUUAACUUUGUUUUUUGAGGUGCAGAUACAAGGCUAGCAAAACUAAUUUCCCUUGAAGGAGAGGCUACCAAGCAGAGGCACCCUGCCCCUGUGCUGACAGUGGUCAGCUCCUCCCCUGUUGCUUGGUGUUGAGAGGUCAGGUGAUUACAUGGCUUUUGUUAGGCCACUUUGGCUGAACCUGAGUAUCAGCUUAGUGCAACAGUCAGUACUAUGUUAAUUGUCUAGGGAAGACAGCCAAUUCUGUAGCCAUUGGUCAAAGGCAUGAAUGGGCACAAGUACAGGGAUUAGCCUUGAAAAUUGGUAUCCAGUCACAGCCCAGAGAAGUUCUAGAAGUGUGCAAUGAUACUUACUGGAGGAAGCAUUGUGAUCUUUCUCCCCAUAUCAGUAGCUGUGGAUUUCAUUUGAUGUGUACCUCUUCACCAGAUUCAGUGGUGAGUUUUCUGCUCUGUAGUCUUGAUUCUUAAGGAUUUGUUCUUCCUGUGCUGGGGAGCAAAGAAGGGAUUUCAUUCUUGGGUGUGAAAAUGCUCUUAGUUCAAUAAAGGCAUGGUAUGGACAACUUCAUUUCAGAGGCAUUGAAAGAAAGGUACUUUUUUGCAUGAAUUUCCCUUACUUUAUUAGUAUCACAAAGCCACUUGUGAAGAAUUAGUGCCUUUUCUAUGAGUGCUGAAGGAGAAUAAUUCUUUUUCUUGAGUAACAACAUCCACAGACUUAUUUUGACUGGAUAUUGUUGAAAAUGUGGGAGGUAUGUUUUAUGAAGAAUUAAUGUCUCCACAUAUUUGAAUGAACUGGAUAUUUCAGUGGUUUAUUUUAUUUUGGAUGAAGAACUAAUGGCCUAUAAAUAAAAUCAUAUUUUUAUUAAUGGUUUGUGUAUUUUCCAUUCAUAUGUUGUAUUUUAAUUAAAUUAAUUACUAUUUGUCUUGAGAUAUCUCUGGCUGUAUAAUUCUGGGGUCUGCCUUCUGUAGUUUGAGUAUUUAACAUGCAGGUUUGCAUAAUUUUAAUUUGUUACGAAAAUAAAGUUCUUCCUCAUUUCUGUGCCAUAUUAAACCUCCAAACCUUUCCCAAAUUUAGGUUAUUGAAUCAGUUCUUACUUAGAACAAGGGAUUGAAAGGGAACUUCUAGACUAUUAUGUCCAAUUUCUAGGUGUACUAGAAUUUCAUAAAAAUUCUUUGAGUCAUUCCUCACCUUAAACUAUAGCUUUUUCUUAUUCCAUUGCAAGAAGGGUGUUCUCAAUACCUAAGAUGUUUUUUUGUGUAAAUGUGGCAUGCUUACUAAAUGUACUGUGCUUAAUAUUUAACAUCUUGUAAUAAAGGGUGAGAAAAACA